rnacentral:misc_RNA from 1 species
GAUGAAGAACGUAGCGAAAUGCGAUAAGUAGUGUGAAUUGCAGAAUUCAGUGAAUCAUCGAAUCUUUGAACGCACAUUGCGCCCCUUGGUAUCCCGAGGGGCAUGCCUGUUCGAGCGUCAUUUCACCACUCAAGCCUGGCUUGGUGUUGGGCGACGUCCCCUUUGGGGACGCGCCUCGAAACGCUCGGCGGCGUGGCACCGGCUUUAAGCGUAGCAGAAUCUUUCGCUUUGGAAGUCGGGGCCCCGUCUGCCGGAAGACCUACUCGCAAGGUUGACCUCGGAUCAGGCAGGGAUACCCGCUGAACUUAAGCAUAUCAAUAAGCGGAGAA